GAUCGAGGCUCCUCUUUGUUCACAGCUAAAUCUGUAUUCUCUGAAUCUUGCACGGAAGGUUUCGACUCUAACAACAGAUUACUCUCAGACAUUACUUGCUCCUGCUGCUGCUGUUGCGGCUGUGCAUCUGUUGAAACCGGAACAGCUUGACUGGUUGUGGUAUCAUGUGGAACGACGCCAUUUUCAGCUGCAGAUCCUGAAUUCUGAUCCAAAUUGGGAGAACAACUUUCGAUUUUGGGAGGCUGGUCGAUAUCCCCCUUGAUUGUCGACGAAAUGGGACUACUCCGCACAGGAUAAACUGAUGGAGGCUCGUCCUCGUACUUGACUGGUCGCGGCCUUUUUCUCUUUGGCGCUGCAUAUUGUAUAAAAAAAAUCACAUGAAACCAUCAGCGAAGUCCCAGAAAUCCCAAACAUACAACCUGUUCUUUCAGAUUGCUGCAUAAAACACGAAAUGAAAAUAGCGAAUCUUGCUCGAUCCCAAUUUUUCCCUUUUUCUCUUGGGUUCCUUAGCAACCAAAGAGAGCAUUGGCAGGAAGAGUCAAAAGGAAAUGAGUAUACUUGAGCAUUCGAUGGCUCAACCGCUCCGGCAACUUACCAAUAGCAGACAUGGGAGUGGCAGAUGAGCUAGAAUUAGUGGGA
rnacentral:misc_RNA from 1 species